ensembl:lncRNA
GUAAAGGAACUUUUGUAAAUAGGCCUUUAGUAACGUGGUGGUGAGGUGUGGAGUGAGAGGAAGUGUUCUAUAGUCCUCAGAUUAGAGCUCAGUCAUUUGGUGAGCCUGUCUCUGGACUGUGAACUUUAUAAGAGUUUCUCAGUUUUUUUUCCUCUUAGAUGAGACAGGAUGGCUGGAGUGCGCUGGAGUUGGAUAGUUUCCUUCUCCCAGGUGGAAGACAAGAGCAGGCCAGAAUUGGGUAUUUCCCUUCCCCCAGGUCACUUCGGCUCUGAUAAUAUCCCAGCAGGUUAGGAUCUGGUUAACUAGUUUCCACUGAGGCAGGCCUUGUUAAGAAAAGGCAUAGGGGCUGGCCUGAUUGCACAGUGGUUGAGUUUGUGUGCUCUGCUUCAGGUGCCCACAGUUUGCAGGUUCAGAUCCUGGGCACAGACGUAGCACCACUUGUCAAGCCACCCUGUAGUCGCAUCCCACAAAAUAGAGGAAGGUUGGCACAGAUGUUAGGUCAGUGACAAUCUUCCUCGCCUCACACACACGCAAAAAAGAUUACACUGGCAUAUUUCAAAAUGGUUCUUUUUUCCCCUCCCCCUACUGGAAGCACAAAGGAGAUUUUUCUCCAGUAUAUACUGUGGGAAUCUGGUUGAGCUCCUGGAGGUGAAUCUCACAGUAUUGUUGGGUUGGGGAGGUCCCCCUUUGAUUGAGUCCACCUGGGGAGUUUUUAACUCUUAGCGUUGUCCUCAUUGAGCCUCCAACAAUUCAUCAACUUUAGUUCUGGGUUUUCUUCCCGGCGCUGCUUCCUGCAGUGGUAUUGGCUCCUGAUUCUCUGCUCAGGAAGAUUGGCCCUGAGCUAUCAUCCAUGCCCAUCUUCCUCUAUUUUAUAUGUGGGACUCCUGCCGUAGCAUUGUUUGGUAAACAGUGCAUAGGUCCAUACCUGGGAUCCAAACCAGUGAACUUCAGGCCUCCGAAGCAGAGUACAAGAACUUAAUCUCUAUGCCACCAGUAAGGAAGAAGCUCUAAGUCUUGAAGACUAAGAAUUAUGAGAAUUUGGAGCAACUUCCCUCAAGACAGGAACAUUUCAUGCAAGACAGAGAAGAACAUAGGAUUCAGAAUCUGACCAGAAGUGCAGACCCCUGCCUGUGUCCCAGGCUUCCCACAAAUGCAAAACAAUAGCAUAACUAGUGUCUUGGAUGUCCCUGUGCAGCUUCUAAGAUCUCAUAAUACGUCGUGUGAUUCAACAGAAGUCUUCUGUAUUCUUGCUCCAGAGCACAGUCCUUAGGCAAAGUGGGUUUAAAACUUGCUUUGGCCAAAAUGACAGCAGCAAAUGUGAGGCAAGAACCAAUUCGAAAAUUGCUUGUGCAUUAAGCUUGCUAUCUGGCUGCUUGUGGAACUCUGAUGCCAUGUGAACAAGCCCAGAUAAGCCAGCUGGAGAGUAACACAGAAGAGAGACCUCCUCUAUCCCAGCCUUCCCAGACACGACAUCAUAAACCAGCCAGCCCCAGCUAUUACCUUCUAGCUGACAGCAGAUACAUGAGUGAUGGGGCCUGGGUAGGAACAACUGCCCACCUGAGACCAGCCCAAAUUGCUGACCUGCAAAAUCAUGAGUGAAACAAAUGGUUGUUUUUUUCAAUCUUGAAUUUUGGGGUAGUUGCUUACACAGGAAUAGAUAACUCAUACAGGUGAAAAAUAGAUAUUCAGCCCCCUCAGCACAGAGGUAUUAACCCAUGACAGAGAAGGAGAAACAGCCUCGAGAGGGAAAAAGUCCAGCAUGAUUUUUACAUGUCGUGAUUGACAGUGGAAGGAGGCAGGAAGUUCAUAUAGAUCCUGCCUGAUAAAUUCUAUUAUCCUCAUGAAAUGGAAGAUUGGGUCUUCUGAGAAUCAGAUGGAGAGAUAGUGAGCUAGAUGAGAAUGAUAAAAGUUUGAAAUAUACUUUGUAGAAAAGGGAGCAAUGACAAGAGACUCUUGAAAAUGCUUAAUGUCCUACUGAAUUGGGAGAAUCUGAAACUGUUGGGGGAUUUGUUGUAGAUUAACAUGAGCCAUUCCCUAGGAGUUAUUGGACUUUUGAAGUCCCGGAGAAAUUUAAAGGAUGACACAUGUUGUAUAGCUACCACAAUCUAGAGAUUUUAUUUCAGCAAAUAUUAUACCUUCAAGCAAUUGAAUUCAAUCAAACACUGAGUCCAAAUUUGGCUCAGAGAAAAAAACUUUUAUAACAAUUUCAUAAACCAAAAGCUAAGCUCCUGUGAAUUCCUCCCUGAGAAUAGCUAUCAAAUCACCCACAGACAAAUGGGGGGAAAUUUUGAAAGCAUAGUAUUAGUUGAGACUCUCCUUGAAAUGUUUCUGAAUUCUUAUGGCCCAAGAGCUUUAAUCUAUAAUAUUCCAAAUAGAGCGGAACUGGAUACUCAUAGCCAAACACAGUCAUUCCCAUAUAAUUAUCUAACAGACAUUUUAAACAAGCAUUAUUGACUUUCAAACAUACUUACGUGAUUCUACAAUAAUAAGACUUCCCUAUCCUUAAUAUGAAUAUUAUAUCUCAACUUCCUGGGAAUAAAAGGAAAAGAAUUUUAUAAAUCUCUGGCUACUCUGCCUUAAGGAUCAGCUAACCACUCUUCUCCGACAACACAUGAUCAAAAUGUUUCUUAGGUUUUUAGACCUCCUCUAAAAACCUCCCUUUAAUUACAAUGCAGGAUAUGUAAAUUUCUUUAACACUAUAGCUCAUCAUCUAUUUCCUUCCUCCCCACUCUCUCUUCUUCCUUCUCUUCCUUUCUUCUGCCUUCCCUUCCUCCUUUCCUUCCUUCCUUCUCAAAAUUUUAUUUAAUUCUUCCGUGUGACAACAAGUGAUCUUUUGCCAGCAGUUCAAGUGUGAUUACGCAAUGCUGUUCCCAUAUCUUAAGUCCAUCUCGGUUAUUCUUUAUCACAUUGUUCUGCUUUAAUUCCUUCACAAAAAUUCACUUAG